CAGGCUUAACACAUGCAAGUCGAGGGGCAUCGGGUAGAAAGCUUGCUUUCUUUGCCGGCGACCGGCGCACGGGUGAGUAACACGUAUCCAACCUGCCCUUUACUCGGGGAUAGCCUUUCGAAAGAAAGAUUAAUACCCGAUAGUAUAAUGAUUCCGCAUGGUUUCAUUAUUAAAGGAUUCCGGUAAAGGAUGGGGAUGCGUUCCAUUAGGUUGUUGGUGAGGUAACGGCUCACCAAGCCUUCGAUGGAUAGGGGUUCUGAGAGGAAGGUCCCCCACAUUGGAACUGAGACACGGUCCAAACUCCUACGGGAGGCAGCAGUGAGGAAUAUUGGUCAAUGGGCGCUAGCCUGAACCAGCCAAGUAGCGUGAAGGAUGAAGGCUCUAUGGGUCGUAAACUUCUUUUAUAUAAGAAUAAAGUGCAGUAUGUAUACUGUUUUGUAUGUAUUAUAUGAAUAAGGAUCGGCUAACUCCGUGCCAGCAGCCGCGGUAAUACGGAGGAUCCGAGCGUUAUCCGGAUUUAUUGGGUUUAAAGGGAGCGUAGGUGGACUGGUAAGUCAGUUGUGAAAGUUUGCGGCUCGACCGUAAAAUUGCAGUUGAUACUGUCAGUCUUGAGUACAGUAGAGGUGGGCGGAAUUCGUGGUGUAGCGGUGAAAUGCUUAGAUAUCACGAAGAACUCCGAUUGCGAAGGCAGCUCACUGGACUGCAACUGACACUGAUGCUCGAAAGUGUGGGUAUCAAACAGGAUUAGAUACCCUGGUAGUCCACACAGUAAACGAUGAAUACUCGCUGUUUGCGAUAUACAGUAAGCGGCCAAGCGAAAGCAUUAAGUAUUCCACCUGGGGAGUACGCCGGCAACGGUGAAACUCAAAGGAAUUGACGGGGGCCCGCACAAGCGGAGGAACAUGUGGUUUAAUUCGAUGAUACGCGAGGAACCUUACCCGGGCUUAAAUUGCAGUGGAAUGAUGUGGAAACAUGUCAGUGAGCAAUCACCGCUGUGAAGGUGCUGCAUGGUUGUCGUCAGCUCGUGCCGUGAGGUGUCGGCUUAAGUGCCAUAACGAGCGCAACCCUUAUCUUCAGUUACUAACAGGUCAUGCUGAGGACUCUGGAGAGACUGCCGUCGUAAGAUGUGAGGAAGGUGGGGAUGACGUCAAAUCAGCACGGCCCUUACGUCCGGGGCUACACACGUGUUACAAUGGGGGGUACAGAAGGCAGCUAGCGGGUGACCGUAUGCUAAUCCCAAAAUCCUCUCUCAGUUCGGAUCGAAGUCUGCAACCCGACUUCGUGAAGCUGGAUUCGCUAGUAAUCGCGCAUCAGCCACGGCGCGGUGAAUACGUUCCCGGGCCUUGUACACACCGCCCGUCAAGCCAUGGGAGCCGGGGGUACCUGAAGUACGUAACCGCAAGGAUCGUCCUAGGGUAAAACUGGUGACUGGGGC
rnacentral:rRNA from 1 species